AUCUACUUCGACCAUAAUCCCGAGAACCAAUAGGGCAGAGUACCAUCUUCGGUCAAUAAGGAGAAUUGAUGUUGGGUCUUCGUCUCCAUCUGCUUCGACCAUAAUUCUGAGAACUAAUAGGGCAGAGUACCCUCAUCCGUCAAUCAGGAGAAUGGCUGUUGGGUCUUCGUCUCCAUCUGCUUCGACCAUAAUCCCGAGAACCUGUGGCGACCCCAAAUCCGGAUACUUGAAACCCGAACUCGGUUCUCCACGAUACCAUUUCUUUAAGCUGAAUAAUACUAAAUAAUAAUAUAAUUCGAACUUAAUUUACAUACAUCAAAGUUUACUUUCCCAGGUACGUGACCUUCAAAUACAUUCCUUACAAUACCUGACAAUAGAUUCCAUUGUCU
rnacentral:lncRNA from 1 species